CAUAGCGACUAUCGUGGCAUAUCAAUAAGCGGAGGAAAAGAAACUAACUAGGAUUCCCUCAGUAACGGCGAGUGAAGCGGGAAGAGCUCAAAUUUGAAAUCUUCAAGGUUCUACCUUGACGAAUUGUAGUUUAAAGAAGUGUUUUCUGUUGGAGUUUUGGUAAAAGUUCUUUGGAAUAGAACAUCAUAGAGGGUGAGAAUCCCGUAUUUGACCAUUAUUUCCAGCUGUUUGAUACACUUUCAAAGAGUCGGAUUGUUUGGGAAUGCAGUCCAAAAUGGGUGGUAAAUUUCAUCUAAAGCUAAAUAUUGGCGAGAGACCGAUAGCGAACAAGUACCGUGAGGGAAAGAUGAAAAGAACUUUGAAAAGAGAGUUAAACAGUACGUGAAAUUGUCAAAAGGGAAGCGUUUGACACCAGUGUUGUUUAGUUGAAAAUCAAUUCAAUAGUUUUUGAUUCUAAGUAGUAUUGACUUCACCAGCUUGUUGCUUAUUUUCAUGAGAAUUCUUCGUAAUGCACUUUUCAGUUAACAAGUCAACAUCAAUUUCUUUUGUUGUAAAAGGGUAUGAGGAAGGUGGCUUUACUUUCGGAGUAAAGUGUAUUAUAGCCUUGUGACUCUACAAUCGGAGAGAUUGAGGUCUGCAGCGUAGAUCCUUCGGGGUUAGAUACGUUUGUGCUAAGUUAUAGCUUUUCAUAGACAACUUGUUGACUAUGUUAGUCUUGUAGCUUACUCGCUGAUGCUAUUUUACCUACGCUUAGGAUGUUGACGAGACUGUCGAUCUC
rnacentral:rRNA from 1 species